rnacentral:ncRNA from 3 species
AAGACUAAUCGAACCAUCU